GCUGGGGUUUCUAAGGAGUAAGGGGCUCGCAGGGUAUUGGGGCACAGAAGGCUGCUGUUCAGGAAGUGGGGCAAACUCGGUGCAGUUGGCUGCAGGAACACAAGAGGGAGAAGGAAGUUAGAGGGAGCCUUGUGGCCUCUCUUUGCGGGGAUGAGAACCACCGCCCAUCCUGGGAACUCCUUCCUGACUGAAAUCCAGCAAGGUGAGGAAGGAGAGAAAAGAUGCCUGCCUGGCUGACUACUCAACAUUGCAGCAAUGGCCCUGGGGAACAAAAGGCAGAGUUUCUGCAGCUCAACCAGACUGAGCUGUGACUACCACGCGAUGUGUGUGACACCUGGGAGCCCUGAUGAGAUUCUGCAACUAAUAGGAUCUGGGGACAGAACUACUUGCCACUUCCACAGAAAGAAAAUCUUCCCAAUCCCAAAGGGAAUUAAAAUCCAGAGGACUAUCAAGAAUCACCCAGAGAUGAGUCCUAAAGAAUAUCCUCAUCAAAGCAUGGAGCAGCCACAUCUGGCCUGCUGACGUCUUUUCUGCAGGUUUACACUUUCUAUGUUCUUUGUAGCUUCCUUACCCCUUCCUCUUUGUCAUGACUGCAUCAAUGCUUCCAUUAGCCAAAGGACAGGACAAGUGGUUACCUUCAACUAGUGUUGGAUCAGCAAGGCAAGUCACACUGCCUCCCUUCUAAGGUUGCAGCCCUGAGAUUAUUCUCUGCAGUGCGAUUAGCUGCUGUUUUCUCUGACUGGUGCCUACUCCAAACUGUUCUCAGAUUUUUAAAAGAAGAUUAAAAAAAAAGAAAGCAAAUCACCUUUUUUCUGUUUCCAGUUCAUUCAUCAUCCGAUGCUUUUGCUCUAGUUGUUCCUGGAGUUCUACAAUACGUUCAUUUUCUGAACCCUCUUGUUGCAAGAGAAGCAUCUUGUUUUCAUGCUGCAGUCGAAUAAACAUUUCUCUAUGGGUCAAAAACAAAAAGUCUCCAUUCUGUGAAGAGUUUAUAUAAAUAGUUCUUGACUAUCUAAAAAGACAGUAAUUUUGCAGAAGAGGUGGCAUUCCAGUUCACUAAAAUGCCAGUGUACUGAAUGUUCUUCAGUAAAAACAAGUGGCAUAGUUUUCUGUUAGUUUCAGUAGAAUACAAAAAGCAGUAGAUUUCCUCAAAGAGAAUACACACCAAACCAAAUAUGCUUAUUUUAAUUGGAGAUAAUUGACAUAAAACUAACAAAAAUCAAUUUAUUUGGAUGUGAUUAACAUACUUUUGUUAAAAGAACAUUAUUAAUAUUGCAAAAUCAAGCAUUCAAAAGUUAGGAAAUGCCAGAAUUAAGAUUGCCUGUGAAACCUUAACUCAGCCCCCUAACGUAUAUCCAUUAUAAUGCAGUCUACUUAGACAAUCACAUACUAUUUAUACCCUGUAUCAUUCUGUUUGUAAAAACAGCAGCAGAAAUUUCAUCAGGUGGUGUCAUACUGACACCUUCAUAGGUCAUCAGCAAAGUUGGAACUUCUGCAACACUCACACCUCUUCCACUUGAGCUAACAGAGUAACUGAUAAGAAUAGUCAUCCUUUACGUGGGCUGGAGGGGGAUGCGACAUUCUUUGUCAGAGUUUCUCAGCUAUUUGCUGAUAGCAAAGGCAUGAUAAUUCUCAGGAAUCUUGAGUUUCAUUCCAGGCUUGGAAGGGAGUGUUCUCUAGUGGGAAGACUUCUGCCAGUUUCCCCAAAACUUGACCCCUUCUGCUACACCCCCUCUAAACUGUCCCAGUCCUGUCUCUUCCCCACCCUUGCCUUCUUAUCCCAGUCUUAUCCCAGAAGAAAACACAUUUACUGUAGAUUUAGUAAGACAUAUAACACCACAUUAUUCAGGGCUGAACCUGCACUUUGCAAGUCUUCCGUGAUUGCCUAUCCUUGAUUCUGCCAGACUUUCCAUAUAACCACAGCAAGUUCUUAACCACUCUGCUUCAGUUUCCUCAUCUACAAAAUGAGGGUACCUUCCUACCUUAUACAGCGUGUUGCAAGGUUUAAUUUAAUGUCUGUAAAGCAUUUUACUAGUGGCUUCCCUAUAAGAACAUCAAACUUCUAGUUUUUUUUAUUGAAAAGUAGUAAAUUGCCCAACAAGCUGUUUGAGACACUGAACUUUAGCAAGGGAAGGGUAUUGCUCAAAGUGAGCUCUUUCCUUACCUGUAUUCCACUGGUAGAAUUUCAGCAGCAAGAUUCUCAUGACUUUUUACAGCAGAUGCAUCUGAAAAGGCAUGAAAAUUUGACAAAUUCACUUCCAGAUAACAUACCAAUCUAUUUUAAAAAAACAUCAAGAAAGUACCUGCUUGAUUCAGAUGAUCCUGUUGCAUCUGAGAACACCGGAGCUCUUCAUUAGUUUCUUUCAGAGCAUCCCGCUGCACUAUAAGUCUCUAAGAAAAGGUCAAAGCAUAUUUAAGGUAGAAAUAAGACAAAAUUGUUUCAUGUUGGCACAUUCCAUCAGGAAUGAAAGAUCCAUCAUUUAUAACACUAUUUUCAGGACAUGAGUUAAAUGCUGAAGGCUUUUGAUAAUGUUUAUACCAAAUGCUGACCUAUCAAUUUCCAAGUUACAAAGACCAGUAUACUAAAGUGACUAUAUACAUAACUUCUAAUGCUAAAUCUCAUCCCUAUGGCAGUACUACUGAUGCCUAAGAGCACCUGAGAUAUUAUUCUCAAGAUGACCACAGUGAAAAAUUCUGGCCAGGCCAGCACACAAAAAAUCUGAGAGACUUUCUAGUGAAUUUGAGUAAAUACUCAUGCAUAAGACUUACCUCUUUUUCUUUGAAUAAAGAUUCAUGCUUUUCUUCAAGUCGCUUCAAUUCAAAUGCUAACGUGUCAGCUCUUUUGGACUCCUCAGAAAGUCUGUUAUGAAGCUCCUGGACCUUGAAUGAUAAUGACAUAGGUGUUAUAUUUAGUGUAUGUUCUAAGAUGUUAUUAAUAUAAUUUUUUUUAAACUCUGGCACUCUUAUGGGUGGGGAAAAAGAGCUGGAUUAAGAAGAGGAAGAUCAUGUUCAAGCAGUUCAUUAUUCACAGGGUCUCAGAAACCUAAUAAAGUAGGUUUCUGUGGUUGUUGUAAUCUAAUCAGAACUAAAAUGUCUAUGUCUCUUUGCUGAAUACAACCAACACAUAUGGUUCAUCUUGGCCAGCAGCCUUUUUCCCCCUAAAUAAAAGGCAUAUAGGAAUUCUGAUGACUAGCUUGGAACUUUCAGAAGCAAAUUGUUGUGCACUUCCGAAAAUGAAAACAAGAUAUUUUUAAAAAGGGUUUUUAAAAUCAGUAAGACAGUAUGUCAUACCUAGAAGAUGUCAGCUACACAUUAAACAAAACAGGACACCUGAUCACCACUGCACUCAUUGAACUGAUGAGUUGCACACUGUGCCGUGAACUGCAGGUCAAGAAAUGACCUCAGGUAAGCCAGCUGGUGAGAGUUUGGAAGGGAAAAGGGGAGACAGAGUAUAUUGCAGAGCUGAAAGUUUCCCUAUGAACAGUCUUGACACCAGCCCCAACAAUCGUUACAUCAAGCAGCUCAAUUUUUUUCAGUCAACUGUGAUUAUUUUUAAUAAAAAUACACCUGAGAAUAGUUAAGAUGUUGAGUACAGUUGUUGCCUUACCUGCCUUUUGUAUGUUUCCAGCUGAGCACGUGCUGCAUUUGCCUUCUUUAGCUCUUCCUCUAGGCUGACUGUAUUAUGCAUAUACAUCAUGUUGGUGUCUUGCAGAGACUUUACCUGUCGGCGGAAGUCAUUCAAGUCCUCCAGUUUUUUACGAUACACUUCAACUGUUGACUCCAGUUUACUUGCCUUAUCUGCAAAAGUUCUACAAGAAUAAAUAUGAAUUAUGGAAACAGUAAGAUGUAUUUUUCACACAAACAAACUGCAACCAAGCAAAUCAGUCCCUCAGAGUCACAUUGGCUGUCUCCUACUUCAUUUCAACACCAUAUACAUUAUGCUGAAACCAUGGCGCACCACUGGAUGAUGAAAUGAACAAAUACGUAUUGUGUAAUUUCAAAAAUAUGGACACCUAUUUUACAAAAUAUACUUUCCAUUAGUACACACUAAUAUACUUUAGUUACCAUUUGUACAUUCAUGCUCAACUAUACAUACUUUUAAGAACUACUCCCGGUCAUGACAUGCAAAGAGGACAGACCAACCAGAUUUGUGUGAACUACCAUCAAGUUAACUACUCCAAACAGAAGUCUGUAACAGCUCUGUGGUAGUUCUGACUUCUCAAAAUGAUGCAUGAUAGGUAUCACAGCACAACCAGAAAUGGCAAUUUGGGACUGAAGCAGAAAUGGCUGGCAUAAAGUUACAUGCUAAAAAUCUUUCCUUAGCUUUGCUAUUUGGUAAAUUCAGCACAAUCAUACAUUUACAGUGGGUGUAAUUACCAGAAAUCAUUUACCAUACCACCUCUGCAAAAGUAAGUUGAUCAAGUUUUGAACACUGAGCAAAACACAUUUUCAGGGUGAGGCCUCUUAUAUCAAGUUUCAGAAUUACAGACCCCUGAAAGUUUGGUUUUAGAAAGAAAGCUGCAUGUGGAACCUUAAAUAACAGAAAGAGAAUGGGAACACUAUCAUGCAGGGGAGAAGGAUUACCUCACCUCAGCUCGACUUUACUGAUUUGUGAGUUGAAGUUAAUACCACCAUAUAGAAAACUGUUAAAAUAUGCCCCAUAUUGAAACAAGUGAGAUGAAAAGUUACUUGAUUACAGACUUUCUUCAUCUGCUUCCUACUGAAAAUGGCUUUAUUUCACCUUCAGUGAAUGCAAUCAGUCCAUUAUAAUGAAUUGGUUCUUAAUAUAUUUUUAAAAGGGCUAAAGCUAUUGUUAGCUGAAAAUAAACUAUGGAACAUUUUUAUAAUAAUUUUUACUAUUCAUAGCUACAUGAUUGCAACGACUGCUUAUUAACUGCAAGAUAUCAAGUUAUUACGCCAAGAAAUCUUUCCUACUAUGGGUUAGCAAUAUAUUUUCCAAUAGUCACAGGGGAGCUGAGCAUGGAUUUAUAUUAAAGGAUAAUAUUUCCAACAAUAGCAUAUAUGAAGCAUUUCAGAGUGUGGAAGUUUUGUUUCAAUACAAACUGAAAGAACAAAAAAUUUAUAGGUGAAAUUUAACCUCUGAAGACAUUGCAUUUUGCAACUGUUUAACAGAGCUUCUAUUUCUUGAUGUCACAUAUUUGAAAAAGUAAGUGUGUGUCUCCUCACCUGCAGGUCUAGUUCUUGACAUCUUUGCUUCAGUUCUUCUUUUUCUGCUAGUGCUUCUUGAAGGUGUUCCAGGGCUCUUUUCAUCUUAAAAAAAAAAAAAAAAAAGAUUUAAUACAAGUUAGAUGUAUUGAAAUUAAGAUUAUUUUAUAUGCUCCCUAUCUGUACAAGGAGAGACAUGUAAGACAGAGAGAGAGUAAGGCACAUCUAUACUGCGAAAACAGGCAGAAAAAACUGUAGAACCAGGUUCUGAGAUUUGCUGCCACAGAGGUGUUUGUUUUCAUUUGCUUGCUUUUUUUUUUUCCUUCCAGUGUAGACGUACUCGAAGUGACUUGCUUGCCUAAGGUCAGAGAGAAUCUGCAGCAGGGCAGAGAACUGAACCCGAGACUCCAGCAUACAAGACAAGCAACCAGGCUACUGACCAUCCUUCCUCGGAUAGCAAUAGGAAGGUCAAUGUCAUCAUAGGGGAAACAUCUGAGCUCUUUCUUGGGGAGUGCUUUUAAAUUAGUGAUAAUUAUAACUUCAAGAACAGAACUCUGGGUUUGGGAUCACAUAGAACUCAAAUAUUUUCCAGGAUCUCUCUGCAGUAUCUGUACUCAUCUGCACUUUCUAACCUAAAUGGAGGUUGAUAGCAGCCUUACUCCUUGCUCUUCCUGUCAUAUCCUCCCGCAGUCUCUACUCAGGCAACAGAGAUGAUAAGAUCAGCCAUUUCACGUCUUUUAAAAAAAAGCUAAGUUUAUGUGCACUGCUUUACUCAGCCAUUCACCUACCUCUUGCACUAUGGGUGACAAUGAAAGAUAAGAGUUAAAUUUACUCUAACUUCCUAGGGUAGCAACAGCAUGUUGCUCUGCCUUUUGUGAAAUACAAGUCUGGGCAUUGAUUUUGGUAAGCUGGUCUGAAGGAAAAAACCACUGGCUGUAUAAAGCAAGAAGCAAGUUAAUUUGUAUAGAUGAAGGACUGAAACGUCUUUCUUUGGAGAUGAUGGGAGAGGCACUUUUGGGUCUACUCUCUGAAUUUUCAAGCAUGAUGUGAAUAAAUUAUUUUUGAAACUCUUAA